rnacentral:rRNA from 1 species
UACGGAGGGGGCUAGCGUUGUUCGGAAUUACUGGGCGUAAAGCGCACGUAGGCGGCUUUGUAAGUUAGAGGUGAAAGCCCGGGGCUCAACUCCGGAAUUGCCUUUAAGACUGCAUCGCUAGAAUUGUGUAGAGGUAAGUGGAAUUCCGAGUGUAGAGGUGAAAUUCGUAGAUAUUCGGAAGAACACCAGUGGCGAAGGCGACUUACUGGACACAUAUUGACGCUGAGGUGCGAAAGCGUGGGGAGCAAACAGG